CCUACGGGUGGCAGCAGUGAGGAAUAUUGGUCAAUGGCCGUAAGGCUGAACCAGCCAAGUAGCGUGAGGGAAGACUGCCCUAUGGGUUGUAAACCUCUUUUAUGCGGGGAUAAAGGUGUCCACGUGUGGCUGUUUGCAGGUACCGCAUGAAUAAGGACUGGCUAAUUCCGGGCCAGCAGCCGCGGUAAUAAGGAAGGUCCGGGCGUUAUCCGGAUUUAUUGGGUUUAAAGGGAGCGUAGGCCGGUCUUUAAGCGUGCCGUGAAAUUUUGGGGCUCAACCAUGAGAGUGCGGCGCGAACUGGCGACCUUGAGUGCGCGGGAGGCAGGCGGAAUUCGUGGUGUAGCGGUGAAAUGCUUAGAUAUCACGAAGAACCCCGAUUGCGAAGGCAGCCUGCCGCAGCGUUACUGACGCUGAAGCUCGAAAGCGCGGGUAUCGAACAGGAUUAGAUACCCCUGUAGUC
rnacentral:rRNA from 1 species